rnacentral:rRNA from 1 species
AACGAACGCUGGCGGCAGGCUUAACACAUGCAAGUCGAACGCCCCGCAAGGGGAGUGGCAGACGGGUGAGUAACGCGUGGGAAUCUACCUAGCUCUUCGGAAUAGCUCCGGGAAACUGGAAUUAAUACCGAGUACGCCCUACGGGGGAAAGAUUUAUCGGAGUUAGAUGAGCCCGCGUUGGAUUAGCUAGUUGGUGGGGUAAUGGCCUACCAAGGCGACGAUCCAUAGCUGGUCUGAGAGGAUGAUCAGCCACACUGGGACUGAGACACGGCCCAGACUCCUACGGGAGGCAGCAGUGGGGAAUAUUGGACAAUGGGCGCAAGCCUGAUCCAGCCAUGCCGCGUGAGUGAUGAAGGCCUUAGGGUUGUAAAGCUCUUUCGGUGGGGAAGAUAAUGACGGUACCCACAGAAGAAGCCCCGGCUAACUUCGUGCCAGCCGCCGCGGUAAAAC